GAGCUCCUCGGGGGGCAGCAGUGAGGAAUAUUGGCCAAUGGGCGCGAGCCUGAACCAGCCAAGUCGCGUGAGGGAAGACGGUCCUAUGGAUUGUAAACCUCUUUUGUCGGGGAGCAAAAGACGCCACGUGUGGCGUUCCGAGAGUACCCGAAGAAAAAGCAUCGGCUAACUCCGUGCCAGCAGCCGCGGUAAUACGGAGGAUGCGAGUGUUAUCCGGAUUUAUUGGGUUUAAAGGGUGCGCAGGCGGAAGAUCAAGUCAGCGGUAAAAUUGAGAGGCUCAACCUCUUCGAGCCGUUGAAACUGGU
rnacentral:rRNA from 1 species